UAAAAACCCCGACUUCGGAAGGGGUGUAUUUAUUAGAUACAAAACCAAUGCCCUUCGGGGCUCUUUGGUGAUUCAUGAUAACUAUACGAAUCGCACGGCCUUGCGCCGGCGAUGGUUCAUUCAAAUUUCUUCCCUAUCAACUUUCGAUGUUUGGGUAUUGGCCAAACAUGGUUGCAACGGGUAACGGAGGGUUAGGGCUCGACCCCGGAGAAGGAGCCUGAGAAACGGCUACUACAUCCAAGGAAGGCAGCAGGCGCGCAAAUUACCCAAUCCCGACUCGGGGAGGUAGUGACAAUAAAUACUGAUACAGGGCCCUUUCGGGCCUUGUAAUUGGAAUGAGUACAAUUUAAAUCCCUUAACGAGGAACAAUUGGAGGGCAAGUCUGGUGCCAGCAGCCGCGGUAAUUCCAGCUCCAAUAGCGUAUAUUAAAGUUGUUGUGGUUAAAAAGCUCGUAGUUGAACCUUGGGCCUGGCUGGCCGGUCCGCCUCACCGCGUGCACAGGUCCGGCCGGGCCUUUCCCUCUGUGGAACCCCAUACCCUUCACUGGGCGUGGCGGGGAAACAGGACAUUUACUUU
rnacentral:rRNA from 1 species